GCGCACAACCUCUUCACACCACUUGUUCCCAGACCGCACACAAGGUGGAGCGAAAACAGGAAAUAAGCCCAAACAAGAAAAGGGCCAAUGAGUGUGGUUGGAGUAAAAUAUAUUGUAACCAACCUUUUUUUUUCGGGGGCAAGGCAGAUUUUGCACACGCAACAGUUCGCAGGUCAACCCGUGUGCCUGCAGUUCUGUGCUGCCCUGGCCAAGAGCAGCCACAUUCAGAGCAACCACCAGCCACAGCAAUUUGCUGCUCCAUCAUCGUCUACGGAGACAAAUGCCCAAUGUGAACCCCACGGCGGACACCAGCACCCGUGACAGGCAGCUCCGCAAUCCCCGUGCCACCGAGCAGGGCCCGAGAGCCACCGGCAACAACCCCUCAGCAUCAGAAUGCAGCGGGUUCCUCAGAGAAACGGCAACUCCUGCCAGUGAACCAAAACUCCCUGGUUUUCAGCAAAAAGUUAAAAAAACCAAACAGGGUCUAAGACCUCAGACGCCUCCUUUGUGCCCAGAAUGUAGUUUUUGCAGACUCACUAUAAAGCCUUGCAGAGCAGGGUUUAUAAGGUCACCGCAGAAUUUGCAUUACCCGUAGCCUAGCUGGGGAUCGGCAGCGCGACCUACUCCUCUCAUCUCUGCAUAUGCAAUAAACCCGGGAUGAAGCUCCUUCGCUUUAUUUCCACCUCAUUGUGCUGAUGCUGAGCUCACCAAACAAACUGAGAGCCAGUGGGGAAGGGACAGAGAGACUCACCAAACAACGUAUGUCUGGCUCUCUCCAUCAUGAAGGAUGCACAGAAUUCACCUGUAUAGAUGGACAGUUUGUCUUGGCUCCUUCUUCCCUGAUAAAUCAGUAACACAGUCUCUGUCUCCCUGGAAAAUCCAGGGGAAGGUCCCGCAAGGACUCAGCAAAAUUCCCCCCCGACUCGUUUUACAGCCGGACAUUUUAAACUUGGUUCUUUAUUAUCGCUUAAUUCCAUCAAAUGUUUAGCAGCACAAGCAAAGCCUUUUUGUUGACACACGCCCUCCGUAACCCAGCUCUGACCCAUUUACACCUCCAAAUCAUUAAAGAUAAGAAAUAAGCCCAGCCUCAGCGCGAAGGAACCCUCACAUAAUCACCUAUCGGUGCUCCCAUCAGCACUCCUCCGUUACACUUCUAUUUUCUACAGCUUAACUAGGAAAGCCAGCAUCAAACCCUGCCCCUUACCCUACAGCUAUUCAUUGCCCACAUUCUGCUAUUUAUUUCCUAAAAUACUCUCUUUUGGGUGGAUCUAAUGAAAAAUCCAAAUAACUCAGGUCUGUUGGUACAUUCUCAGUGUUUGAUUAGCGUUCCAAACUGUAAGCGCCAUUAGGAAGGCAGGUUUCUGUACCGCACACAUCCUCUUCAUGCAAGCUAUGGCAAUUUGACCCCCAAGGUUCAUUUAAGUGAUAAUUAGGCCCUCGCAGCCGGCACAGGAGCAGAACUCACCUGCCUGAUAUCCCAGCUCUUCCUCAGGUUUGAUUUCUCUGAAGGCAAAACCUCUCCUGCUGCACCUGUUCCUUUGACCGUGCGGAUUCCUGCCUUGGUAACUUCCCAGCAAGGAGCAAAACUCGUCCUUUUCAUGUGAACAUCUGCUGCUGGUUCACACUUUAUCUCCUUCGGGCCCUGGGAUGAACUAUCCCCAUUCCUACCGAUUCACAGCACCCAGGUUCCUUCCUUUGCUCCAUUACUCCCUCUAUAAGCAAUUCAAUCACUGCUAAUUGACUGCAGAUGGGGAUUUCCUCAACAUCCUGACCCCCCUUUUCCCCAGAACAACUUUUCUCUCUGCUCCUCGUACCCCAGGCCUCUGUCUGCCCUCGGAGGCUCCUCACCAUUAGCUCCUAUUGACACCAGUUGAGCAUUUUAAGGUACAGGAAGCAUUUCCUACCUUUGAAAUGCUGUAAGUUUGCUCCAAUUCGUCCUCCCAACCUACGUCCCGCAGAUCAAAUGAAUUAUUAUUAUUAGUAUCUUUACAACUGCUCCAUGACCUCCUUGUAGAUUUAAAAACUCAUUUGAUCUCCCAUUUCUGUUGUCAGGGAACCCAUGAGGGUGUCACUGGUUCCCCCGAAGGGUACAGGCAAACAAACUGGAGUUUCUGGUCUCCGGCGCGUAGUACCACAGCCUCUUUUCCAUACAAAAAUAGAUGUUCCAUUCCUGCAUAAAGCUUCAAUCACA